rnacentral:rRNA from 1 species
AGUGACACAUGUUUUAACGGCCGCGGUAUCCUAACCGUGCAAAGGUAGCGUAAUCACUUGUCUUUUAAUUGAAGACCUGUAUGAAUGGCAUAACGAAGGCUUAACUGUCUCCUCUUUAAAGUCAAUAAAAUUGAUCUCCCCGUGCAGAAGCGGGGAUUACACCAUAAGACGAGAAGACCCUGUGGAGCUUUAGACGCUAAAGCAGCCCACGAACUAACCUUGUCAUAAACAAGUUAUUAACCAGUGAAACCCUGCUUCCCUGUCUUCGGUUGGGGCGACCAGGAGAAACUAAAAAACUCUCCCGAGGAGUAGGAAGACUCUUCCCAAAACCAAGAGCCACACCUCUAAUAAUUAGAACUUCUAACCAUAAUAGACCCGGAAUACCCGAUCUUCGAACAAAGUUACCCCAGGGAUAACAGCGCAAUCCCCUUUUAGAGCCCGUAUCGACAAGGGGGUUUACGACCUCGAUGUUGGAUCAGGACACCCCAAUGGUGCAGCCGCUA